rnacentral:rRNA from 1 species
GACGAACGCUGGCGGCGUGCUUAACACAUGCAAGUCGAACGAAGUGGCGAACGGGUGAGUAACGCGUAAUCAACCUGCCCUUCAGAGGGGGACAACAGUUGGAAACGACUGCUAAUACCGCAUACUGAAGGAGGGGUUUGGGUCUGAUUAGCUAGUGGGAGGGGGAACGGCCCACCAAGGCGAUGAUCAGUAGCCGGCCUGGGGGGGCGACCGGCCACAUUGGGACUGAGAUACGGCCCAAACGCCUACGGGAGGCAGCAGUGGGGAAUCUUGCACAAUGGGGGAAACCCUGAUGCAGCAGCGCCGCGUGCGGGAUGACGGCCUUCGGGUUGUAAACCGCUUUCAGCCAUGACGCGGUAGUGGCAGAAGAAGCACCGGCUAACUACGUGCCAGCAGCCGCGGUAAUUC